rnacentral:rRNA from 1 species
CCUAAUACAUGCAAGUAGAACGCUGAGAACUGGUGCUUGCACCGGUUCAAGGAGUUGCGAACGGGUGAGUAACGCGUAGGUAACCUACCUCAUAGCGGGGGAUAACUAUUGGAAACGAUAGCUAAUACCGCAUAAGAGAGACUAACGCAUGUUAGUAAUUUAAAAGGGGCAAUUGCUCCACUAUGAGAUGGACCUGCGUUGUAUUAGCUAGUUGGUGAGGUAAAGGCUCACCAAGGCGACGAUACAUAGCCGACCUGAGAGGGUGAUCGGCCACACUGGGACUGAGACACGGCCCAGACUCCUACGGGAGGCAGCAGUAGGGGAUCUUCGGCAAUGGGGGCAACCCUGACCGAGCAACGCCGCGUGAGUGAAGAAGGUUUUCGGAUCGUAAAGCUCUGUUGUUAGAGAAGAAUGAUGGUGGGAGUGGAAAAUCCACCAAGUGACGGUAACUAACCAGAAAGGGACGGCUAACUACGUGCCAGCAGCCGCGGUAAUACGUAGGUCCCGAGCGUUGUCCGGAUUUAUUGGGCGUAAAGCGAGCGCAGGCGGUUUUUUAAGUCUGAAGUUGAAGGCACUGGCUCAACCAAUGUACGCUUUGGAACCUGGAGAACUUGAGUGCAGAAGGGGAGAGUGGAAUUCCAUGUGUAGCGGUGAAAUGCGUAGAUAUAUGGAGGAACACCGGUGGCGAAAGCGGCUCUCUGGUCUGUA